AGUGAACGCUGGCGGUAGGCCUAACACAUGCAAGUCGAACGGCAGCACAGUAAGAGCUUGCUCUUACGGGUGGCGAGUGGCGGACGGGUGAGGAAUACAUCGGAAUCUACUUUUUCGUGGGGGAUAACGUAGGGAAACUUACGCUAAUACCGCAUACGACCUACGGGUGAAAGCAGGGGAUCUUCGGACCUUGCGCGAUUGAAUGAGCCGAUGUCGGAUUAGCUAGUUGGCGGGGUAAAGGCCCACCAAGGCGACGAUCCGUAGCUGGUCUGAGAGGAUGAUCAGCGACACUAGAGCUGAGACACGGUCCAGACUCCUACGGGAGGCCGCAGUGGGGAAUAUUGGACAAUGGGCGCGAGCAUGAUCCAGCCAUAGCGCGUGGGUGAAGAAGGCUUUCGGGUUGUGAAGCCCUUUUGCUGGGAAAGAAAAGCAUCAGGUUAAUACCCCGCUGUUCUGACGGUACCCAAAGAAUAAGCACCGGCUAACUUCGUG
rnacentral:rRNA from 1 species